rnacentral:rRNA from 1 species
GUCUACGGCCAUGCCACCCUGAACAAGCCCGAUGUCUGAUCUUGGAAGCUAAGCGGGGUCGGGCCUGUUCAGUACUUGGAUGGGAGACCACCUAGGAAGACUGGGUGCUGUAGGUG